UACAGAGGGCUCAAGCGUUGUUCGGAUUCAUUGGGCGUAAAGGGCGCGUAGGCGGCGGUGUAAGUCGGGUGUGAAAUCUUGGAGCUUAACUCCGAAACUGCAUUCGAUACUGCCGUGCUUGAGGACUGGAGAGGAGACUGGAAUUUACGGUGUAGCGGUGAAAUGCGUAGAUAUCGUAAGGAAGACCAGUGGCGAAGGCGGGUCUCUGGACAGUUCCUGACGCUGAGGCACGAAGGCCAGGGGAGCAAACGGG
rnacentral:rRNA from 1 species